UACGGGGGAUGCAAGCCUUAUCCGGAAUCACUGGGCGUAAAGCGUCUGUAGGUGGUGAUGCAAGUCACUGGUGCAAAACUCUGGCUCAACCGGAGGAAAGCCAGUGAAACUGCAUGACUAGAGUGUGGGAGAGGUAGAAGGAAUUCCCUGAGUAGCGGUGAAAAGCGUAGAUACAGGGAAGAACACCGGAGGCGAAAGCGUUCUACUGGAACACAACUGACACUGAGAGACGAAAGCUAGGGGAGCGAAUGGG
rnacentral:rRNA from 1 species